GCCUGCUGGCCAUGUUGCAAGGACAAAGGGACAGGAAGCAGUGAGCUAGAAAUGCAGAAAGAAAAGAGAAGAAGGAGAGAAAGAGCCAGAGCUGUGUAGAGCGACUCAUGGAACUGCAGCAUGGCAAAGGCGUGGUGGAGGUCACACGUGGGAUUGAAGCAGUCUGUGUCCACCAAAGGAGCGGAGCUGCUCGGGAAUGAGAAACUCCUUUAGGAUUUGCAGCUCUUGCACUCUGAUUUGGUGAGCAUGCUCUCUAUCAACAGGGUGGAAAUAAGGAGAAGUCCUGUGUUCAUCACUGGGAAAUCCAGUUUUCAAGAUGGAUAUGGAAGAGUUGUCCCUACUGUCAGAGCUGCAGGCUUGUCUUUGGCAGCUGUUACAGACCCACAGAAUGGUUGAGGCUGGAAGAAAUCUCUGGAUAUCAUCUCAUCCAAUCCCCCUGCCCAAGCAGGGCCAUCUAUAACCACUUACCUGGGACCAUGUCCCACUGGAUUUUGACUGUCUCCAAGUAUGAAGAGUCCACAGCCCCUAUGGGCAAUUUCUUCUGGUGUUUGGUCACUGGUUUUGUUUGGAGCAAGAAAAAAGAAAAAAAAAAAAAAAAAAAAGAAGUGUUUCCUGAUAUUCAAGUAAUACUUCCCGUGUUUCAGUUUAUGUCCAGGAUCUCUGGUCCUGGCAUUGGGCACCACUGGAGAGAACCUGGGUCCGUCCAUCCUCUUUGCACCUCCCCUCCAGUGCAGGGACAUACUGGAGAGAGGCCAGUGGUGGUUGAUGGCAUGAGGCUGCCCUGGCUCUGCUGCUGAAUGGUGAGUGCAGACUUACAGGGGUUGUUUUCUCCAGACUGCUGUUUGGAGAAGAGGAAAAAGAAUCACUCCUUUCCCUCAUGCUGCAACUGCCUUGAUGAAUGAGUGACGGCAAGUGAGGUCUGUUGAGCCCACAUGCUGGUUUCUCACGUUUCAGUCCAUUUUUUCCACCUUUCCGUCAAGAAAAAAUAACAUAUUUCCCAGGGACUUUGAGUCUGGUGAUGUGGGAAGAAACACCUGUUAAAAAACACCAGGGAAGUUUUCCUGCUAAUUUGUCAAAGGCAGAAUUUAAAUCUAUCUUUGGUGAAAAAGAACCCAUGAGAACCAAGUCCUUGCUGGGAGGCUUAACAUGUGGUAAAAGUUCCGGGAGCAUUCAGGAGAGUGUGGUCGUUUAUUAUUAAUAUGUGUAGCAGUUCACCGAGGGCCCUGCUGAGGUCAGAGAUGUUUUUCACCUCUUAUUCCAAGGGAGUGAUAUCAGGGCUUACAGAGAAAUAAAGCUUUCCCUGGCUCUGAGACACGUCUGAUGGAAAGAUCCACCUCAGACUGGGCAGGGUGGUGCUGUUUAGCUCUGUAGGGUACAGUAGCUGGACAGCCCUGGCUGGAAGGCUUUUGCUGCUUUGGGAUACCCUUCCCCAUCCAUGGGUAGGUGGCCCAGAAGGCAGAAACCCUGGGUGAUGGACCUGUGUUGUGGGCUAUGCCUGGAAGGACCAUGCAGGAGCGUGGGGAGAGAGUGGUGUUACCACAGCAGGAAUAUCCUCAGUCCCACGGGCAGCUCCCCGUUGCCAUCUGGGCCUGAGCAGCCCACCCACACCACAUUCUGGGAGACUGCAACCCAGAGCCUCCCCUGAGCAGUGAACGGGGCAAACGUCCUGCCCCCCAAAGCAGCUCAGAGCCUCCUACUUAAUUUAGUGGGAGAAGCACCAUUAUCUUUUUCUCAGCAAAAGAAGUGGAGAACAGGAAUGGCUGAGCUCCAUGGUGGAUCUCCAGAACAUGCAAAUUCUGGGAAACAUUCUGCUGGUCUUCAGGAUCCAAACAUGAGUUUUCAGGCCUCAUUGCUGGAAAAGACUCUCUGUUUAGAAACAGCACUGAAUAGUCCAGCUCUGGCACUGGUGGGACAUGGGUGGGGUAUCAGGUCUCAGCCAUUUGUUUGUGGUGGUGGUGUGGCACCCCCGUGUGCUGGCAGACCUCAGGCAGUGUAGCUCAGCCACAGUUCCCGCUGGCACAUCAGCAAGCAGGUCCCUAUUCCUGCAGAAUGAGGUUCUGCUACAACUUUUGCGGUUAGAGGUUUGGCGUCUUUGAAGAGGAUACGGCAGUUCUGUGCAAGGUUAUUGUUAGAACUUUAAAUUAAAAACACAAAUAUACAUAUGUACAUAUAUAUAUACACACACAAACAUUUGUACCCCACACUUGCUACUUACUCACUUAUUGUGCCUGGCCUCAGAAACAGAUGUUUCCAUUUCCAAAUAUUUCUCAUGAUACACCAAGAAGGUCUGCCCCGUACCAUCUUAACCUUAUAAUCACUGUGCAAAACCACAAAUGCAAAGAAAAUUUCGUGGCAUAUAUAAAGUUAACAUUAAAAAUAACACAUACAAUAAGUACAGAUGCCAGAUUCUGGGUAUCUGGAUCAUUCUGCUUAUUUGCAAAUAAAAGUGAGGUAUCAUUGCUUAGU